rnacentral:rRNA from 1 species
GAUCAUGGCUCAGGACGAACGCUGGCGGCGUGCUUAACACAUGCAAGUCGAACGAAGCACUUUAUUUGAUUUCCUUCGGGACUGAUUAUUUUGUGACUGAGUGGCGGACGGGUGAGUAACGCGUGGGUAACCUGCCUUGUACAGGGGGAUAACAGUUGGAAACGGCUGCUAAUACCGCAUAAGCGCACGGCAUCGCAUGAUGCAGUGUGAAAAACUCCGGUGGUAUAAGAUGGACCCGCG